rnacentral:rRNA from 1 species
UACAGAGGUCUCAAGCGUUGUUCGGAUUCCUUGGGCGUAAAGGGCGCGUAGGCUGCGGGGUAAGUCGGGUGUGAAAUCUCAGGGCUCAACCCUGAAACUGCACUCGAUACUGCUCUGCUUGAGGACUGGAGAGGAGACUGGAAUUCACGGUGGAGCGGUGAAAUGCGUAGAGAUUGGAAAGAACACCGAUGGCGAAGGCACUUUACUGGGCUAUUACUAACACUCAGAGACGAAAGCUAUGGUAGCAAAUGGG